CUACGGGGGGCUCCAGUGAGGAAUUUUGCGCAAUGGGGGGAACCCUGACGCAGCAACGCCGCGUGAGUGAUGAAGGCUUUCGGGUCGUAAAGCUCUGUCAAGUGGGAAGAACCUAUGCAGUGUUAAUAUCACUGUAUACUGACGGUACCACUGAAGGAAGCACCGGCUAACUCCGUGCCAGCAGCCGCGGUGAAUACGGGGGGUGCAAGCGUUAUUCGGAAUCAUUGGGCGUAAAGGGCACGUAGGCGGCUUGGUAAGUCAGAUGUGAAAGCCCGGGGCUUAACCCCGGAAGUGCAUUUGAUACUGUCAGGCUUGAGUAUGGGAGAGGGAAGUGGAAUUCCUGGUGUAGAGGUGAAAUUCGUAGAUAUCAGGAGGAACACCGGUGGCGAAGGCGACUUCCUGGACCAAUACUGACGCUGAGGUGCGAAGGCGUGGGUAGCAAACAGGAUUAGAUACCCUGGUAGUC
rnacentral:rRNA from 1 species